ensembl:lncRNA
UUUCCUUUCCGUCCUGCAGAUUCAACCCAGACACCACGCUGCUGGAGGCCGUUCCACGAUGCUGGGCCCGCUGGAGGGAAGGGGAGACGCGGGGGGAGAACGGAGAACAGAAGGAGACAAGAACUGGGCAGAAUGGUGUGGACGGGUGUGCGUUGCAUUGGACUGCGCAGAAGACUCCAGUCCGUGUCCUGUCAAGAGACCUGCGAAUUGUGAUUUUAAGAAAGUUUACCUUGUUCGCAUGUUCCGAUCUAUUGCUUCUUGGCAGCUGCUCGGAAAUGGCAGCGACCCAACGGAAACCUCAGGCAUGCAGGCUGGGGAGGUGAGGGGAGGAGCCCGGGACAGGCGCUGCAGGAUUAACCCCUGUCACCUGCAGUCAGAUGUCUCACCUGCUGCCCUGCAACGGAGACGCAUGCAAAUCAGGGAUUUUAUGCCGUUUGAUGUGCAGCAGCAUCCUUGUUUGUGGCAUUUGGCUGAUGCUGAUAUGCUUCUCGCUGCUUGUAGAGCACAAGAUGGUCAAAAACGGAGACAUCACACUUAUAGAUUGCAUUGCAUUGGUAAGCACACACAUUCGAUGUACGACCGUCCUCUCAGUUAUUCAUUUUUUGUCCUCUAGCGAGAUCUGUUGAGCUGACCACUGUCUCACAUCUGCCUUCUGCUUUUUCCCUUACUGAUGAAGCAACGCUCCAAAAUAACAUGGAGUUUUACACUCUGCCAGCCUCGGCCUUUGUUUAUAUUUAAUACAUUUAUGCGGAAAUCCCAUUCAGAUGAGCCGCGGCCAUGUGAAAGCCAUUAGGGCAAACACUAGGAAUGAGGUGGCUUUACAACCUCAUAAUAGUCUCUUUAGGUGCACAUUUAAUGACCCGUCCGGUGUAAAUCAGUCUGACGGUAGUUAGAGAAAGGUUUAUGCAGGAUAAGUGGCAGGGCCGGAAGAAUUCAAAUUAUGAGAAGCCUAGCAGGAAUAUGGUCAAAAUGGUUGGCGUUUAAAAGAUGCAUGAGCUGGACUGAAGCUAUUUCUGUAGCUUUAGUAAGAAUAAUCCAGUGUAUUAAAGAAAACAAAAGGAGAUUUCAUGACGUGUUAGAUUAGCACACAUUAACCAGCACUUUUGGCACUUAAGUCAUCUCGGCAUUAGAAAAUGGGUUUAAAUGUAUGUUUUCAAAUGAUUAACUCAACCUUAAGACCAAAAUGCUGCAACUGUUGUAUUUUGAAUUAUUAUUAAAGGAAACGCAAGCCGAAUAUGCUGAUAAAAGAG